ACGCCAGCUACCACUUCAGAUAUUUUAUUGAAAUCUACUAACUACGGUGAGGCACCAUGAGGAGUCUAUUUUUAAUAGCUGUAGCAUUGGCGUGCCUAGCCUCUGUAAUGGCUCUCGAUCCUGUUAGCCAAUGUAUCGCAAGGUGUCCUCAAAACAUCGCAACGGUGUGUGGAAGAGUUGGAAAAAGUAUAUCUCUGUACCGCAAUCGCUGCUAUUUGCCUUGUUUCCACGCUACAUUUGUUGCGAAUUAUCCCUGCAAAGUAACGAAUGAUGCUGAAGUUGAUUAGCACUACUGGUCAAGAGUCUGCAGCUGUCACCAACUAAUUCCUACACUGAACCCAAUAAAAUGCCUAAAGAAUGCCUAAUCAAAUAAAAGAUUUACAUAAAA